AAUAGAUACCCAGGUAGUCCACCCGUAAACGUUGGGAACUAGUUGUGGGGUCCAUUCCACGGAUUCCGUGACGCAGCUAACGCAUUAAGUUCCCCGCCUGGGGAGUACGGCCGCAAGGCUAAAACUCAAAGGAAUUGACGGGGACCCGCACAAGCGGCGGAGCAUGCGGAUUAAUUCGAUGCAACGCGAAGAACCUUACCAAGGCUUGACAUACACGAGAACACCCUGGAAACAGGGGACUCUUUGGACACUCGUGAACAGGUGGUGCAUGGUUGUCGUCAGCUCGUGUCGUGAGAUGUUGGGUUAAGUCCCGCAACGAGCGCAACCCUCGUUCUAUGUUGCCAGCACGUAAUGGUGGGAACUCAUGGGAUACUGCCGGGGUCAACUCGGGGGAAGGUGGGGAUGACGUCAAAUCAUCAUGCCCCUUAUGUCUUGGGCUUCACGCAUGCUACAAUGGCCGGUACAAAGGGCUGCAAUACCGUGAGGUGGAGCGAAUCCCAAAAAGCCGGUCCAGUUCGGAUUGAGGUCUGCAACUCGACCUCA
rnacentral:rRNA from 1 species